CCUACGGGAGGCAGCAGUGGGGAAUCUUGCGCAAUGGGCGAAAGCCUGACGCAGCAACGCCGCGUGCGGGAAGAAGGCCUUCGGGUUGUAAACCGCCUUCAGCAGGAACGAAAAUGACGGUACCUGCAGAAGAAGGAGCGGCCAACUACGUGCCAGCAGCCGCGGUGACACGUAGGCUCCAAGCGUUGUCCGGAUUUAUUGGGCGUAAAGAGCUCGUAGGCGGUUCAGUAAGUCGGGUGUGAAAACUCUGGGCUCAACCCAGAGCCUGCAUUCGAAACUGCUGUGACUAGAGUUUGGUAGGGGAGCGGGGAAUUCCUAGUGUAGCGGUGAAAUGCGCAGAUAUUAGGAGGAACACCGGUGGCGAAAGCGCCGCUCUGGGCCAAUACUGACGCUGAGGAGCGAAAGCGUGGGUAGCAAACAGGAUUAGAUACCCUGGUAGUCCACGCCGUAAACGAUGGGCACUAGGUGUGGGUUUCAACUAACGAAAUCCGUGCCGUCGCUAACGCAUUAAGUNCCCCGCCUGGGGGAGGUACGGUCGCGAGACGAAACGUACGAAGAAGUAGACGGUCGUGAGACGUUGCCGACGGACGACGACGAGGGAGAGG
rnacentral:rRNA from 1 species